rnacentral:rRNA from 1 species
UACAGAGGGGGCAAGCGUUGUCCGGAAUUACUGGGCGUACAGGGCACGCAGGUGGCUGCAUAGGUGGCGUGUGAAAGCCCCGCGCUUAACGCGGGGAGGCCACGCCAAACGGUGCGGCUCGAGCGAUGCAGAGGGUGGUGGAAUUGCCGGUGUAGUGGUGAAAUGCGUAGAGAUCGGCAGGAACACCAAGGACGAAGGUAACCACCUGGGCAUCAGCUGACACUCAUGUGCGACAGCGUGGGGAGCGAACCGG